UACAGAGGGGGCAAGCGUUGUUCGGAAUUACUGGGCGUAAAGGGCGCGUAGGCGGCCUGUUAAGUCGAACGUGAAAUCCCCGGGCUCAACCCGGGAACUGCGUCCGAUACUGGCAGGCUUGAAUUCGGGAGAGGGAUGCGGAAUUCCAGGUGUAGCGGUGAAAUGCGCAGAUAUCAGGAGGAACACCGAUGGCGAAGGCAGGUCUCUGGGCAUUAACUGACGCUGAGGAGCGAAAGCAUGGGGAGCGAACAGG
rnacentral:rRNA from 1 species